AUGCUGAGAUAUGAUCUCGAGGAUCAGCUCUCGACCAUCUACACGGAUGAAGAGGCAUACUGGAGGCUACGCGGCACCCAGAGGUGGGUGCUACGUGGUGAUGCUAAUAAGGCUUACUUCCAGGCCAUUGCCAAUGGGCGGCGGUGACGGAACUCCAUCCAUUGCUUGUGGGAUGGAGAUACCCUUCUCGUCCACCCCUCGGACAUCCGAGUCCAUGUAUAUGGCUUUUACAAAGCCCUAUUCUCCCCCACCCCUCGGAGUGGGGCUGCACUGGCCCCCGACACUUGGUCGGCUAACUAG
rnacentral:rRNA from 1 species